AUUGAACGCUGGCGGCAGGCCUAACACAUGCAAGUCGAACGAGUGGCGGACGGGUGAGUCAUGUCUGGGAAAUUGCCCGCUGGAGGGGGAUAACUACUGGAAACGGUAGCUAAUACCGCAUACCAUCGGAUGUGCCCGGAUGGGAUUAGCUAGUGGGUGGGGUAACGGGUCACCUGGGCGACGAUCCCUAGCUGGUCUGAGCGGAUGACAAGCCACACUGGAACUGAGACACGGUCCAUGCUCCUACGGGAGGCAGCAGUGGGGAAUAUUGCACAAUGGGCGCAAGCCUGAGGCAGCCAUGCCGCGUGUAUGAAGAAGGCCUUCGGGGUGUAAAGUACUUUCAGCGGGGAGGCGUUACUCGCAGAAGAAGCACCGGCUAACUCCGUGCCAGCAGCCGCGGUAAUAC
rnacentral:rRNA from 1 species